rnacentral:tRNA from 1 species
GUCUUGGUGGUAAAAUGGUAAAUACGCAAGACUCAAAAUCUCGUGCUAGAGAGCGUGGAGGUUCGAGUCCUUUUCAAGGCA